GGAGAUUUCACAGCCUGGUUUAGAUCCUGAUAGAGGGACAACAUGGGCAAUGACAAAGAAGAGAGAUGACUCUGAAGUUCACAAGGAUACUGAAGAGAAGCCUGGUUGGUGUACUGACCCGCACUUGCCCCCUUGUGCAGCAUUUGUUGAGAUUAUGGCGACUGUGUUUUCUCGGGAUGCAUGGCGUUGUGUUUGGCAUAUGAUUCAGAAUGACUUGAUUCAUGGAUGGGGUUUAGAUUUUGCUCUGAGGAAAUGUGUUGAGCCUGCUCAUGAGAAAAUAGGAGUCGUAGAUGCUCAAUGGAUUGUUCAUCAAGGUGUUCCUUCACUUGGGAACCAGGGGAAAGCAGAGAGUGGUAGGGCACCAUGGGAAGGGGUGAGGGAGAGAUGUCGAAAAGAAUGGGAUAUGUUUCAAAAUCGAAUGACUAAUGCAGAGAAAGCCUACUUUCGGGCAAUGGGAAUUGAUCCUGCCAAUUCAACAACUCGUUAGAGGGAUGGCAAUGAUGGCUACAAGAAUAUUUUAUAAAAUAACCACAUCUAAUCUACUUGCAGAACUCACAUCCAUGUUUAUGCUGUUUCCACAAUGAUAAUGUGUCGUGGCUGGUUUAGUAAGCAUAUAUCCUUGUUUCAUAUUUACCAGUUCUUUCACUGAAAUUGCAAUGCUUCAUUCAUUUUCUGUAUUCAUUAACGUAAUUUUUUGUAGCCUUCUAAGUGUCUUUGUUCUGGGAAUCAAUCCCCAUAGUUCAUAUCACCUGUAAUUGUGAACAACCUUAUGGAGUUAUAUUUACCAUUUAGGUGUAAUGGAAGAGCUGACCUGUAGCCUUGAGCAAAUUAACUAGACAAAUUUAUGUAUUCUGAUGACUCGGGCAAGAAAGGUUCAGAAGUUUAAAAUCAUGAUCUUGGUAAUGCAAGAACAGAAGGGUUAUUUCCCCAUGAUGGCUCGUAAGUCAGCUACUCGAACGUACACAUUAGAAUUUCUAUGCGCCAUUUCAUUUCUAGAAUAGAAUCUACGGUUUCACUUUAGCAAAGUACAGCCCUUGAAAAUUCUGGGAAUUGGCUAUCAAAAAUUUGCAUAGAACUAAUCUGCAGAGAGAGAGUACCAAAAGCCUUUAGCUUACCAAAAGCCUUUAGCUACCUAUCACUGUAUCAAAUUUUUAUAGUUUGUAAUGAAUGAAAUGAGGGAAUGAUGUAACCACCAACAAAAAUGUACUGAGCCCCAAAAUUUUUAGGGGCAACUUAUUGCCACAACCAGUUAGAAAUAAUUUUUUGUUACCGCCUCUUCCAGAUCUUUGAAGUCCCAAGCGUCAUCUGCCAAGUAUUCUCCAAUUGAAUCUCUUCGAAGAGAAGUUAAAUGAGCACAACUGCAAUUGAAAAGUCAAAUUAGAAACAAUAUCAACUCAAAUAGAGAAUGAGAAAACCAACUUAAUAGCAGAAUAUUUUAAUGCUACACUGUCACAGCCUUCAAUUGCAUUCUUCAAUGGUGAGCAAAAUUUUAGAAUUAAGGAGUAAAGUCCAGUCUCCUUAUUCCUAAGUGUUGCUGAAUCAGAAAUUUUGACAACUAUGCACAAAAUUUGAAGUUAUGUUGCAUCUUGGAUAGGCAAACAUUUAAAAUUCUCAAACGGUUGCAAAUUCUUAUUUUGAUGUCAUAGUUUAACAUCUUUGAACAUUUAAUACAAGGCAAGCUAAAUUCACUUCUUACUUCCGGUCUCACUAUGAUCCAAUUUCACUCACAACAUGCACUUGAAACCAUCUGGUUAUAAAUCUAUUAAUAUUAGGCGGGAAGCCAAAGAUUGUCAGUAAUUCCAGAAACCCAAAACUACUGGCCACAGGAUAAAUUAAUAAAAAGCUAUCACUGAAUCAAGGUGAAAAAAUGUAUACCUGCCAAGAGCCUUCCCAAAAUCUGCACAUAGUGAUCGGAUAUAUGUUCCUUUAGAGCAGACAACUCGGAAAAUCAAAUUUUGUCUGCAACCACCACAUAAACUCAAUUCAAGUCCAAUUAUGGCUGCCUAAACAGUGAACCUAUAAUUUCCAGAAAGCUCUUCCUAACAUGAAUUUUUAAUAUCUAAAACAGAGUCUAUGAAAGCAUAAGUUUUCCAAUUUCCAUCACCCAAAGCACAUGGAAUAAAAGUGCAGAAGAGUUUAAGAGGAUCAAAGAAAUAAAUUUUAGUUAAUUAUGUAAUAAUUCCCAAAGUGGUGACAUAAUGGACAAUAAGUUAGCAUGACAAUCAUUUGGUUCAAUCGUAUGUACAACCACAUUUAGUCUCAGUGGCUUGAACUCUAACCUCCAGCUCACGUCACCUUUAAGCCCAGGUAUUGUUAUGCCACUGAUCAUUGAUCAGGUGAUAUGUAUUGCGUCUUGUGACUAUCAUGUAACAUCAGAUUUUGCAUUGCCAUUUCAUGGCUUCUAGUUUUUAUCAGAUAAACCGGUAACCAACCAAAAAUGUCGAAAUCUUAGAAAGAGCUAUAUUAUGUAUAUUGUCAGAGUACCAAGCAAAGGUUUCUAUUUUGAACAGAGGAAUGGCUAUAAGUUAAUCACAAAGAGAAAGAGCAUAAUCAAUGAUGUCAUAUUGACAGUAACCUAUCCUUUCUGAUAAAAGGAAUAUUUAACUUCAACAUAAUAUACAUAUUACAUGAGCAACAGAGCAUACAUGAUCAACAGCAUACAUGUGGAACAGUAUAUCCAAGCAAAGCCACAUCCUGGAAGUUGAAAAUCAACCACCAGGCAUUGGCACACCAGCUUUGAAAAGGUGAAAAGGUGGUAUAAGAAAGCUUGUUAGAGAGCUUGGGGGAAAUUCAUGACACUUAUCAAAGAGAGUAUCAAUCUAAUAUGCUUCCAGCUUGUAUCAAAGAUGCGUCCAACAAAGUGGCAUCAGAGCAAGGUGAAAAGGGUGGUAUAAGAUAGCUUGUUAAAGAGAUUGGUCUGUUGAAGAGAAUAUCCAUUGAAAGUGUUUCUCCAGGUUGGGAAAAGAGAUCUGUUGAGAGGGUCAUUUGCAUUUAGAAUCUCCAAGUUCAAAUCAAGAAGAUAACCCAUUGAGAAAGCGAAGAAGACAAGAAGAGUCUUCCAAGAGAGAAGGGAAGCCGAAAAGGUCUUCCGAGAAUUAGUAAGGGUGUAAAGAAAUCCCCGAAAAACACCAAAGUGUCAAGGAACAACCAAGUGAAUAAUGGAGAUUGAAGUACCAAUUGUUGUGACCAUCCCAUUCAAAAUGAUACUUAAGGAAUUACUUGAAAAGUUUAGAUUGCCACCAGCAAUUUAUUCGUAUGAAAAAGGUUGUACAGAUCAUCAAACUAGUUUCCUAGUGAGAAUAGAUUUUGAAGACAAAUUUGAAAGGCAUACGGAAUAUGGGUAUAAGGCCUAUACAAAGAAGGAUGCUGAGAAUGAUGCUGCUCUACGCAUGAUAAGGCAUUUCAAAUGGUUUCAUAAUGUCAUUAUCAAAGACGUGAAUGAGUGAGAGUUGCACGAAUUAAACAAUUUUAUUGAUGACUUGAAUGACGCCAUAAAAAAACUGAGAAUAAUGCGUGAUGAGCUAAAGAGAAGAUUGGAGGAUCGAGAAGCUGAAAAAUCGAGCUAUCGUGUGGUUCAAAGAUUAGUUGCUGUAGCUCUUGAAUUUCCCCUACAUUGUAGUUCGAGCAAUCAUCAUUUAGUAAUAUGAAGAGAGAUUUAAAUUUAUGGGGGGAUGUUGGAAGUAUAAAUUUAAUAUUAAUAAUAAUAAGCAUGUGUUGAUAAGUGCGUGGUGUGCUUAGGAAAGUAUGAAGUGUUUAGUAAAUUGUGUUACAUUAAUAUAGAUGCUAAUAACUAGAAGAUUAAGUUCUAUGUAUCUAGUAUGAAGUGUCUACUAUAUAAACCCCUAUGGUAUAUGUGUUCAUGUAGAGAGAAGAAAAGAAUAAGAAAGAGACGUGUAGAGAAAGUAAUAGACAUAUCAAGUAUUCUCUCUCCCUGUAAUUCCUUUGUUUAUCCUGUUUAUCUUGUUUAUGUGUUAAUCCUCUCCGAACAAAGUAGUACAAAGUAGCAUCAAUCCAAUACGCUUCCAGCUAGUAUCAAAGUUGCAUCCAACAAUUGGCACACACAGAUGAACAAAAAGGUGCACAUUAAGUAUACCAUAUAUUUACAUAUUAUAUGUGUAUAUAACAUGUUUUCACAUUUAAUUAACAAGAGGAAAAAAUUGAAGAUGUAGCUAGUGGCUUGUGCAUAGGAGUGUACUUGUGCUGAUAUAUAUAGAACAGAAAGCAAAAGAACCUGUCCUCUAAACUUCGCUGUAUUUCGAACUGAAAAAUUGAAAUUCUUCUGGGUGAAAGCUCAAUAUUUUCUCCUCGUCUAGCUUUCUCAUACAUCUUUUCACCUCCAAUCUAUCACAAAGUGGAGAAAGUUUGAGCAAGCAAACUAAUAACACAUAACAGUGUUUUUGAAUUCAAAUAUGCAUGCAUUUUAAAGUACAACCUCCUUUAUUGAUCCACAUCUGGAUCUUAAAACGGUUGAACUGCUUUAGAGAAAAGCAUCAACUCGUUGAUUUUCCAGAAAUGGGUGAAAAGCAGCUAUCUCCAUCCAAAAAAAAAAAUUACAAAAUCAAAAUGCAGUUUCAAUAAAUCAGCAAUGCCAAGCAGAAAUUAUUUGUCUUUACAAAGAUUUUUUUUUUAAUUUUUUGAUAGAUUGAAAAAAAAUUCCCCAUUACUCCAGACUCCCGAGUUUCUGAAAGGAACAUGUCAACUAUAAUUCUAACAACAAUGUGUCAACCCAGAAUUCAGAAGCCAAAGCCAAGUUUAAGAGACUAGACCGACAAGCCACAAUGUACCUAAACAUAACUUUAGGGUGAAAAUAGUCACAUUUGCAAAGAAUACCAGUCUCAGGUGCCCACAUUAGAUAAAACUGAAAAUUUAGAACCUAAUUGGCAAUUUAUCAUUACUCUUAGGUGUAAGUUACUGUGAAUACUGACUGAUAUGGGAUAUAUUAGGUGUGAACAACAAAAUCUAGAAGCAUAAUUAAAGAAGUGGAUCACCAAAGUUUCACCUGAGUUUGUAACUAUUAAAUAAGAACAGAUAAUAUGCCUAUUACGUUCGUACCCAUAAUAGUGUGUAUAACUGUAACAGAUAAUCUUAAUGCUUAACGUCACCAUUUAUUCCCCUAUUUACAUGCAAAAUAUUUCAGAAGAUUCCUUUCUCUUGUAUGUAUAAUUGUUGAGUUGAAUGGUUAUUGUAUGCAUUUAUGUAUUUGAAAAUCAUUUGGUUAGUGAGUUCUAGUUUCAAGUCUCGGACGUCUUAGUAUCUAAAAUCUGCUUUUCUUGCUUCUGUUCCCUUACAGUAACAGGGAUACUAGGGUAGACACAGAUAAUACGAACUAAUUUGAGGUACAGGUUCUCCCCAUGCUGGUACUCGUUCAAGUAGUCGGUUCUGCUACAAGAAUUAGGAAUUAGGUUGACAGUCUUAUAGUAGUGGAAUUCCCUUUCUCCAUUUGAGAGAGAUCCUUGACCUGAGCUCUGAGGCUUGUGGUAUAUUUCAGUUAGUACUCGUAUCAAGCUGUGGUCUCCACCUUUUUAUCUCCAUUAGUCUAGCUAGAGAUGCACUCCAAUAGAGCAUUCUACAUAGAAGAAAGCCACAGCAUCAUGAUACCGAGUCUUUGAUGGCAGAGAACAUUGGAGGAACUUGCCAUAUUUCACCACAAAAAGAAGCAGCAGCUUUCCUUAUGUCCACAUCUUUGAUGUGCUCCCAAGGCUCACGCUGGAUAACCGGUGAAUCAGCAUCCCAAGUUGAAGUUGCCUCCCCUAAACGGAGAACUCCACUAUAACCCUUAAUCAUUCCUUGAUAUCUUUCUACCAACUUAGUGGCUUUACCAACACAUACAAUCAAUAAUCCAGUUGCCAUAGGAUCAAGUGUUCCAGCAUGCCCCACCUUUUUCACUUUCACCAGGCGACGCAGCUUUCCACAAACUGUAAAUGAAGUCCAUCCUUUAGGCUUAUUCACCAAAACCACAGUUCCAUGAGGACCAUCCCACGUAGGUGGAAGCUCAGUGCUUCUUGUAACAAGAUACGGUUCUCUAUUAUCAACUUCAUUAUCCUUACUUGGAACUUUCUUCAAACACUUGAAGAACUCCUCCACUUUUCUCUCUGUGAUAUCUUUAUUUGAGUCCUUGGCUGAAUUUGUCUCUAUCUCACCCUUCUCUUCAAAGAACACCAACCCUCUAUCAUCUUGUUGGUCUACAACUCCAUUAUCUCUCUUCUCUGCCCUCUUACCACUCCUACUACUCUUUGCUAUCCCAUUUGAAUUCAUAUUAGAAUCUUUAGGAUCAAUGAAUGCCUUAUCGAAGCAUUGGUCAGGGAAAUACUUCUUCUCCAACUGAUAAACCAUCUUGUAAUGUUUAUCUUUUUCCCAUGGAUAAGCAAAUGUAUCGUAGAAAUACAAUUCCUCCUCUCUCUUAUGUAAACUACGAAAGUUCACAACCUCAGGCUUCAAUUCUACAAAGCCCUCUUCAUUCUUUCCACCAUCCUCAUCAGAAUCUGACCCAUACAUUCUUUUUCUCCUCUUGUUGUAAUACUUUCUCUUAGACUUAUCCAUCUCUACAUCAUCUCUGUCCACAGAUAGCUUCUGCUCGACCCAUGAAUCAAGACCGAGUUCUGAAUCAGGAGUUUGGGGUGAUUCCGGCUCUGGUGAGCUAUAGGAGUCGGAUUUACUAAGCCGGGUGGGUCUGCGACGAGUUUGGGCAGGUGGGGGCUGAGUUGGGCGGUUGAUAAUCAUCUCGUACUGAAGAGGGUAAGGAGAAGAAGUGGAGGAGAACCACCUCAAUGGAAGUGAGAAGACCAAUUUGUUUAGAGAUUUGGGUUUUGAGGAAAAAAGUAAGGGAGAGAGAGUGAAUUUCAUGGUCGUUGAUGCCGAGAAAGCCAUGGGUUUUGGGUGAAGAAAGCGUAGAGAAAGAGAUUUAGCCAUUGAUGAUCAGAUGUUUCCCGUUGUUAAUAUUUGGGGUUUAAGCACGAUUGCAGACACUGACCUUGAAGCCCAAUCCUGGAAAACUAGUAACUGUUGCCUG
rnacentral:misc_RNA from 1 species